rnacentral:misc_RNA from 1 species
AAAGUACUUCAAUUGAUAAAGGAGUCAAAAUGAAGCUCUCUCAGUCUUCCCAUUUUGCUUCCUGCUAUCGGAAGUGAUUUAUCAGACCUGAAAAGUGUCUCAGACAUUCAAAACGAAAAUGAAGGAAGAGAUGAAAGAGAACAAUGGGAUGAACCCAGAUCAAAUCAUUGAAAAUAUUGGUGGAUGUGGAAGAUACCAAAUUCGCAUGUCUGUCAUCGUACAUCUCAUCAAAACUAUAGUCUGUUUCGGAUUUUCAAACCUAAUCAUCAGUACCAAGACCCCGUCAUGGUACUGCAUAGAAGGAAAUGUCACCAACAGUUUUAUAUCAUGUACAAAUCUGGUAAAUAAAUCAGAUCUGACAUGCAGAAAAGAAGAAUGCAAUGGCUGGAUGAACAAAACGAAAUGUGAAAAUAUCGUUUUUGAUAGCGAUUUAAAAACUCUUUCUAGUGAGUUCAAUCUCAUAUGUGAUAUAGAUUAUAUUCCUAGCACGAUCAGUUCUAUCCAAAUUACCGGCGUCCUAGUAGGCAAUGUCAUUUCUGGACAACUGGCGGAUUUAUUCGGACGUAAACCUCCGUUCUUUGCUUCUAUAUUGAUAAUUUUGGUGACACAUGUAACUGGUUACUUCUCAAUAACAUGGCAAAUGUUCGCCGUCAGUACAUUUUUUGCUGGCCUCGGAGGAGGAUUUUUUCUAACAACGCAAUACUGCCUUUUAUCAGAAUUUACCGUCGCUAAAUGGCGUGCCUGGGUUGUAGGAUUCCCUUCUUGGCCAAUUGAAGGAUGUCUCUUUGCGCUGUGUGCUUGGUUACUUCAUGACUGGAGAAACUUUCAACUGUUGACUGCAGUAAUGGCAGUGCCAUGCUUAUUUACUUGGUGGAUUAUUCCAGAAAGUUUUCGAUGGUAUAUAGCACACGACAAACCAGAAAAAGCAAAAGUUAUAAUCAACAAUAUUGCAAAAUAUAACAGACAGCACGAGUUCAACUCUGAUGAAGUUCUGCAGAAAGAAGGAAAAACUGAAGAUAAAAAAUACACUUUUCUACAUUUAUUCAAAUCAGGGUUUCUAGUUCGAGUUACAAUGCUACUUAUGCUAAACUGGUUAGCGCUUGGUGUAGUGUCAUACGGUAUAGCAUUUGGAAUACAAACACUGUCGGGAAAUAUUUACCUGAAUUUGUUUUUAUUCAGUAUAACAGGCAUACCAACUAAAGGAAUUGCAAUUUGGCUACAAAAUAAAUUCGGGCGUCGUGUUUCAGCACUGAUUUGUUUCAUCGUUGUUGCAGUUGGAGGUCUGACAGUUGGAGUAGUUCAAACACUAGAUCUGCCAAAUAAAGACGAGCUGACAAAUAUUUUUGCACUUAUUGCAAACGCUGGCAUAUCAACCGCUUGGGGACCAGUGCAGACUAUGACAAUAGAAUUAUAUCCAACAGUUGUCCGGAAUAUAGGAUUUGGAACCUUAAGCCUAGCUGGGAGAAUUGGCGCUAUUGUGGGUCCACAACUUGUUUAUCUGAAUACAUAUUUCCGUGGUUUAUUGUUUUAUGUAUGCGGCGGCAUUGCUGUGUUAUGUGUAAUUGGAACAAUUUUCCUACCCGAGACAAAGGAUAGUGACCUUAAUGACAAAAUCAAGACUGAUACACAAACGACGCCAUGAUGUCAUCAAGCUCAUGUUUAUUCAAGCGACGGUGAUUUAUGAUUAUUCCCAAACCACAACACAUAUUUUCGUGGUUUGCUGUUUAUGUAUACGAUAGCAUCGCUGUGUUAUGUGUAAUUGGAACAGUAUUCUUACCCGAGACCAAGAGUAGUGUCCUUCAUGACAAAAUCAAGACUGGUACACAAACGACGUCAUGAUGUCAUCAAGUUCUUGUUUAGUGAUAGUUAUUCACCAACCGCGCAUACUUUCGUAGUUGUACAUGUGUUAUAACGAAAUCCUUAUCUUAAGAAAUUAUCAUUUUUCGAAAUGACAAUUCUUAAAAAGGGGGUUACAAUUUAACAGUAGAAAAUCUAAAUACUUAGUUAUAUAUUUGUUAAAUUACUAAAGAUUUUCAGUUAUUUCUUGAAACUAAGGAUAACUCGUAAAUUUACGGUCAAACGUCUAGGUAACAUGAAAUUCUUAAAAAAAAACUGUUUUCAAAUUGUUAAAUUAUUAUGUAUUGCUUUUUGUAAAAGACACACAUUUACUUGACAAUAUCAUAAUUUACAAUUUCAAAGUUAAACCUUAGUAUGUCUUUGCCUAAUUUAGUUUAGAAAACGGGUUAGAAAGGUUUCCAGAAAGCUGAUAUUGAUCAAUAAUAUAAUAACAAAAGAUCAAUAAAG